rnacentral:rRNA from 1 species
CUACGGGAUGCACCAGCCAGGAAUAUUGCGCAAUGGGCGAAAGCCUGACGCAGCGACGCCGCGUGCGGGAUGAAGAUCUUCGGAUUGUAAACCGCUGUGGAGAGGGAAGAUAAUGACGGUACCUCUCUAGAAAGCACCUGCUAACUACGUGCCAGAAGCCUCGGUGAUACGUAGGGUGCAAGCAUUAUCCGGAUUUACUAGGCGUAAAGAGUAUCGUAGGCGGUCUGACAAGUGAUUGUUGAAAUCCUUGGGCUCAACCCAAGAACUGGCAGUCAUACUUUUAGACUAGAGUGAUUUCGGGAAGGCUGGAAUUUUCGGUGUAGGGGUGAAAUCCGUUGAUAUCGAAAAGAACACCAAGGGCGAAGGCAGGCCUUUAGGAAUCUACUGACGCUGAUGAACGAAAGCUUGGGGAGCAAAAGGGAUUAGAUACCCUCGUAGUC